rnacentral:rRNA from 1 species
GACGUAGGGCGCGAGCGUUGUCCGGAUUUAUUGGGCGUAAAGAGCUCGUAGGCGGCUUGUCGCGUCGUCCGUGAAAACUUGGGGCUCAACCCCAAGCUUGCGGUCGAUACGGGCAGGCUAGAGUUCGGUAGGGGAGACUGGAAUUCCUGGUGUAGCGGUGAAAUGCGCAGAUAUCAGGAGGAACACCGGUGGCGAAGGCGGGUCUCUGGGCCGAUACUGACGCUGAGAAGCGAAAGCGUGGGGAGCGAACAGG